AAUCAACGCUGGCGGCGUGCCUCAGACAUGCAAGUCGAACGAUUAAAGCUCCCUUCGGGGAGUGCAUAAAGUGGCGCACGGGUGAGUAACACGUAAGUAAUCUACCCUCGGGUGGGGAAU
rnacentral:rRNA from 1 species